AUUACUACUAAGCGCCGGGCACCCAGAGAAGACACCCGGGUGACGCGGCAGCGGAGCGGAGAUAGGAGGAAGGGAGUCAGUCAUUCUUUCAGGUUGGAAUCCCAGCCCUGUGACUUGAAAAACUUACCAGGAACAUGAGUGUGCCUGCUCGUAAUCCAAACAAGAUGGAGAAAUGGAGAAGGAGUUGGGUGUGACUAUUCCCUACUGGAGUGCUCUCCUCCUGCUCCCCCACCCCACCCUUUGGGGAUUUGGGAGUUGUGCUUCUUCCCUACUCCAAGUCAAGCAUGGAAGGAUGUGGGUACUUCAAGAGUACAUUCAAAGACCUUGGCAUAUAGUCUCUUGAAUUUAAAGAACACAAAAUCUGGUGCUGGAGUCCUGGGAAGAGAGAAUAUGCUUAGAGCCCACUCUGAUACCAGGAUAAUGAAAGGAGACCAUGAUGGAAAGGCCUGUACUUCAGAUGACGUACUUAUGGGCCAGAAGUAAAUCCCAUAGGAGUGAGCCAUAUUGAGUUUCUUAGGGAUUCUGUACACUGGACCUACCAAGAGGGAUCUGGUGCCCUUAACAGAACUACUCAGAAAAUGUACAGGACAGGAUGCAUGUCAAGAGAACUACAGGAAACAUUUCUCAGCAGAAGCACUCCAUGAUGACAAAGGUUUGUAUUUGGAGUAUACCAUAUUUUCCAGCAGAAGCUUUCCAUUGGAAUGUACAUCAUCAUUUGGCUUCAGCAUUUGGUGUCCUGGAAAAAAAUUUUAACAACCAGAUUGCCAGAAAAAAAGCCCAGAUCUGUAGUGUUUCUGAAUUCUGCAGUAUGACUUCAUGGUUCCUAACUCCGAUCCGUUGCUGCCUUCAAGCUAUCAGUGUGAUGCCACUGAAUGUGAAGAUGAAAACAGAUUCACAGUCAGAUGUCAUUAUGGGGUAUUUUCACUGCAGGUACAGCAGACUCAGACCAUAAACAGUAGUGAAGUUAAAUAGGUAACAAGUAAUACUUUUGUGUUUAAUACAUUUAUUUAAUUUCAAGUUCAUAUAUAACUUAUUUUUUAACGGUAGUUGGCUUUAACAACUAUCUCACACAAUUCCUAGUAAUAAUCAGGUCUUGAGAGUCAGUACAUGCAAAUUCCAUUAUACCACUGUCCCAUUCACAGAAGGCACAAAUGCCAAUACAGCCAAACCAGUCAACAACCUCUGUUCUUACCCAGCCUCCUCCAUGCCCUAGCCAUGGAAGCAACAGAUACAGCCUAGUGAAUGGAAGCAAAGUAAUAGAGCAAGGUGGAAAAUAAAGAAGUGAGCCAACUUUCCCUUCAAGCAGCUGGCUAUUAGGCCUGAAAUAGGCCUAAGCUGGCAGAGGGGUGAAGCUUAAAUUGAGUGAGAGUAACAUUUUUAGGCUAAAAUGGACUUUUUGUUAUCAUACUAUCUAGAAAAACAAACAUGCCUACUAUUCAUCCUGGGAUAACAAAGGACAAAUAGAGCAAACACAUUUAUAGAGGAAAAGGUUAAAAAAAAAAAUUCUGUUUCUGCUCUAUAUAGCUCAAUAAGAAGCAAGUGGGCCAGCUGGUGGUGUAGUGGUUAAGAUAUUAGACUCUCAAAUGACCAUCCAUAGUUCGAGUCCUGGACCUGGUAGCUUGAAAAUCAUGCCAGGCACAUGUGCAUGCAUGCUCAAGAUUUCAGGAAGAGCAUGAAAGAAGGGGUUAUGGCAUAGCUGACUCCCAGGGGGUGAUUUCUCCCUUUUGCUUUCACUGUCUCUUUACUAGUGCAUGGCGAAACCUUUAAAAAAAAAAAAAAAAAAGUUGUAUGUUCCAAUGUAACAAAUUACCCUGAAACUUAACAGCUUAAAAAUUGUUCUACAAUGCAUAUGUCAGGAAUUCAGGGCUUAGGUUGGUGGUUCUGGCUCAUGAGGUGGUCCUCUUCAUGAAGUUGUAGUUAAGAUGUUGGCUAAACUCUUUGUAAUAGCCAAUAUACAGAGGCAACGUAAAUGCGCAUCAGUAAGCAAAUAGAUGAAGAGAAUGUGGUAUCUAUACUAUACACAGUGGAAUACUGUGCAGCCAUUAAAGAAGAUGAAAUCUAGUCAUUUGAGGCUAGGGUGAGCCUGGAGGACAGUAUGUUAAAUGAAAUAAGCCAGUCACAGAUGUGAGAGUACCAUAUGUUCUCCACAUAUGGAAAUGGUGGGGGGAAUUACCUCAUAGAAGUACAGAGAUGACUGGAAAAGAUUUGACAAGGUGAAGUAGAGGGUUGUAAACAGGAACAAACGUGCAAAUAGAAGGAGCAAUGUCUAGUAUUACAAUACAGUGGGGGAACGUGCUUAACACCUGUAUAUAACAAAUGAUUAAGAUGAGGGGUAUACUAGUUAAUCAUUAGCAUUAAUGAUUAAAUGAUUUAAUCAUUACACAUUGUAUUUCUCUACUGAAAAUCACAUUGUAAAAAUUUUAUGUUAAGGACCAGC